rnacentral:rRNA from 1 species
GCUUAACGCGAAGAACCUUACCAAGGCUUGACAUACAGCAGAACGCUCUAGAAAUAGAGAACUCUUUGGACACUGUUAUACAGGUGGUGCAUGGUUGUCGUCAGCUCGUGUCGUGAGAUGUUCGGUUAAGUCCGGCAACGAGCACAACCCUCGUCCUAUGUUGCCAGCGGGUUAUGCCGGGAACUCAUGGGAUACUGCCGUGGUCAACACGGAGGAAGGUGGGGAUGACGUCAAAUCAUCAUGCCCCUUAUGUCUUGGGCUUCACGCAUGCUACAACGGCCGGUACGAAAGGGCUGCGAUACCGCGAGGUGGAGCGAUACCCAAAAGCCGGUCUCAGUUCGGAUUGGGGUCUGCAACUCGACCCCAUGAAGUCGGAGUCGCUAGUAAUCGCAGAUCAGCAACGCUGCGGUGAAUACGUUCCCGGGUCUUGUACACACCG